UCUUUCCCCGAAUUUUUCUGAAAAUUGCUGCGUUUCUGAAACUGCGAAAUGCCCCCGCCGAUGGACCAGCAGACGCCGGAGAAAUCUCCCUCCGACGGUCCGUCUCCGGUGACCUUCGUCUCUCCUCCCACUGGAUGCUGUGCCAACUGCGGUGGACCGACGACCUGCGAUCCACAACCACCGACGUCGUGGCCGGAGAUGUCGCCGCCGCCUAACUACGUGCCGAUCCGUGCUCCGGCUAUCAAUCUCCCGCCAAAAAAUUCCCAGGCGAUCAUCCUUGCUCCGGUUCCUCACGCCGAGAAAGUUCCCCUCAUCUCUCCGCCGUAUCACUUCGAGUGCCCCGUGAAGCGGAUUCACUCGCCGGACGAUAUCCGCCGCUUCCAUGAAUCCGCCUCUGGAAAGAACUUCCUUGGUUUCGUUGUCGCUCUGUCGGAGUCGAUCCGUGGCCACAAGAUAUCUGAUCCGUGCCACGUGUCCCCGACCGUCGCCGCCAUAGUCUCCAUCCUCGAAGCUAUGGUGCAGUGGAUUGACGAGAUUCCUCCGGCUCAACAGUCCUCGCGAUAUGGGAACGUCUCGUAUCGGACUUGGCACGAGAGGCUCGAUGAGAAGGGCGAGUUGCUGAUGCUUGGGUUUCUCCCCGAGGAGUUCAAGGGAUCGACGGUCGAGAUUGUUCCGUACUUCUCUGAUAGCUUCGGAAACGCGAGCAGGAUCGAUUAUGGAACUGGUCACGAAACAAAUUUCGCUGCGUGGUUGUAUUGCUUGGCGAGGAUGGGGAUCAUUAAGGAAGAGGAUUAUCACGCUGUGGUUGCUAGGGUUUUCGUAAAGUAUCUGGAAUUGAUGCGGAAAUUGCAGAUGGUUUACAGCUUAGAGCCUGCUGGAUCUCAUGGAGUAUGGGGGCUUGAUGAUUACCACUUCUUACCCUUCAUAUUCGGGAGCUCUCAAUUGAUUGAUCACAAGUAUAUGAAGCCGAAAUCGAUCCACAACGAUGACAUUCUGGAGAAUUUCUCGAAUGAAUACAUGUAUUUAUCCUGUAUUGGCUAUGUGAAGAAGGUGAAAAAGGGUUUGUUCUCAGAGCACUCACCUUUGUUGGACGAUAUCAGUGGGGUGCCGAACUGGAAGAAGGUGAACAGUGGACUGCUGAAGAUGUACAAAGUUGAGGUGCUCGAAAAAGUGCCCAUUAUGCAGCAUUUUCUGUUUGGAUGGCUCAUCAACUGGCUAUUGAGCUGUUCAUUGAGAUGGAGAAACCUCAAGGGCGCAGUGGAUUGUGGUUUAUAUUGUCUAUACCUUGGAGGAUUGGAUUAUUUUAUGGCACGUUAUUUUGGUUUCAUUAACUGCAAGUCUGCAAUCAUCAAUGCGGAAGGCUUGCAUUCAAGAUAGCGAGCUCACUGGCAUGAGUCAUCUGAGUUAAACAACGGGCUAAUCAACUCGAACAUGGAAGAGUGAAAUGACCUAGCAUCCGAUAUAUCCUGCGGCAGGGCUACAGUUUUCCAAUCUGGGUUACUCGGUCGGGUUUGACGGAAAGCGAAACAAUAAGAGCACAACCGUACAUUAGAGUGUAUUAACUCGAUCUGAGCCUGAGGUUGUUCUUGGAGCUUUGUGAGAGAUGCAGAGGGCUUAAUGUCUCUCUGCCAGAGUUCAUUUAUGUACGUAGGCCUCUCCUCCUCCAUUCAUUACGACUCAUCCCCUUUGCCAUUGUGUUAGGUACAUCUACUUACUUCUCAUGCCUUUGUUUUUUGUCUACUUGUCUUUGUUCCUUUCCGUAGCGAUAUGCAAUUUGAGAGACUGAUUGGUUGUGAUUGUAACCGUUUAGUUUCAGCGUUUAACACAUUGUAUAAUUUGCGUUUGCGUUUGGAUCGCUAAGCACAAUAUUAUAGUCGUUAUCUUUAGAGACAUCGGUUUGUGAGGUGCCCAUUGUAUACAUGCAUCUCAGUGACAUGCCGACUCUAUUCUA